GGCGGACGGGUGAGUAACGCGUAAGAACUUGCCCUUUAGACUGGGAUAACAGAGGGAAACUUCUGAUAAUACUGGAUAAGUUAGUAUAUCGCAUGAUAUGCAAAAUGAAAGCUACGGCACUAAAGGAGAGCUUUGCGUCCUAUUAGCUAGUUGGUAAGGUAAGAGCUUACCAAGGCGAUGAUAGGUAGCCGGCCUGAGAGGGUGGACGGCCACAAGGGGACUGAGAUACGGCCCUUACUCCUACGGGAGGCAGCAGCC
rnacentral:rRNA from 1 species